UGCUUUGAAGAUUAAAAAAAUAACGAGUUAAUAUUGUCUUAAGUUCAGCCAUUUAGGCUUGCGGGGUGGUAAUGGGUUAUAAAACCGCCCAAAGUGGUGUCGGCGCACCAGGCAGCAGCUCUAAGGUUUCUUGGCGACACAGGCCUCUAUUGCUGCUAGUCAGCCACCUUAAAGAGGUCGUUGACGCUCGGAACGCUUUACCGGAAUUUCAAUUGGGAUUUCAGGAAGGGUACCCACCGACCAAGCAGCUCCUCCGCUUAAUUGAACGGACCACACGCGCUUUUAACCAUAAGAAGGCGACAAGAUGUCUUUCUUGACGUUGAAAGGCCAUAUGAUCGUUUGGCAUUAAGGUUUGCUGCACAAACUGCGUUCCUUAUUCGUCCCUCGUGGCCUUUAUAACGUGCUGGAAUCAUAUUUGAAUGGUCGCGUCUUCAGUGUGCGCGUAAGAUUCCCGGUCGCCUCUUUGAUCUCUUUUUUAGCAGGUGCCCUUGCCGUCCGGCUCACGCACACGAAUUGCCCUCUACGCUGAUGAUACGACCGUAAAUUCCACUUCGAAGUCUUCCGCUUAGCUAUGCGAGCAUCCACAGCGCAACCUUGACGCCCUUACUAUCUGGUGCCGUGAUUGGAAGGUUACUAUAAAUGCGAUGAAGAACAAGACUACAUUAAUUUUAAAGAAAUAAGUCCCUAUAUUGGUACCCAUAACUUUUAAUGGUGUGAAGAUUCUAUGGUGUCCUCCAGCGAAAUAAUUGGGAAUCAUCAUUGACAACAAAUGUUCCUGGCGGACUCACGUGGGCUGUAUAGUGACGCAGGUCAAGGCAGCAACCAAUGCGCUUUAUCCUUUACUUUGCGGUAGCGUAAGCUUUCCCUGCGAAAUGAUGCUCUUCACCGGGACCUUCAGCUGGUCCUUUUAAACAUUGCCUUCCAGCGACAUGCUGUGGUUCUUUACGACAGGCUCACCAGGCACCGCUAGUUUUUUUUGUUAAUGUAAAAAAAUAAUGACACCCUGAGUGCUAUUUGUAUUAUAAUUGCGAUCACUCCUGUUUGAGAGCUCGAUAUUCGGUCUUUAACUUCUUUCGAGUACCAUGAACUGCUAUUAAUAAAUAAAUAAAGUAAUUGUACACCGAAAUCUCAACUCCGGGUAAUGGAAAAAGAACAAAAUAAAUGUUUUUUUCCCUCA